CAGUUAUUAUUUAUAUACAGUGGGCAAACAGAAGCAGUGAGUAGUUCAAGUCCACACCACCAAACAGUGAUUUUCUCCGACUGGUGUAACGGUAUGAUUGUGUGUGCUGUCAGUGAUGUAGGUGGUGGGCAAUAAAUGUCAUUUUGUCGCCUGUAAAGUGCCUUCUCCCUAUAGAACACGCCAUCGUCGCUCUCACACCAGUCCCACUGCCUGAUCCGUCAGCAUCAUUCCACCAGUUAUUACCGUGACAGCGUCAUUGUGCUUAGUUGACUUUUCUCUGAUUGAAUUGCCCAUUUCGGUCUCUAAGGGAGGUGUAAUGUAUUGACGGUUUUCCAAGGUUAUUCCCGGGUGCUCGUAGAGUUUAAGUCAAUACUGUUUGCUAUAUGAUGUGUGGCGUGGAGUAAGGUGUUUUGCUUCGAAUAUAACUAGAUAAAAGUUGAUAUGACAAAAUUCUUUAAAGACCUUAUUAAGUUUCCUCCAACCUUCUUGUGUUUUGGAUGGAUGUUUUGUUGAAAUAUUUUGAAAAAUUACAUCCAAACUAAAAGAACCUGGAUUUUCACAAGUCUGAAUUGAGUUAUUGAAUUCAACUCCGCUGUGAAUGAAGCUCUGAAUCUCCAUAAUUUGACCUCACAGAUCAUUUGAACUUUUUCAGAGGAAAGAAUUUGUAGUGAUGAUGAUCAGUGGGUCUGAUCACACACUUUGGGAAGGCAUAAAUAACUGGAACUGAUUUUCUCUCGUGCCUGCCUCAUCCUAAUACCUUCAGCCAUCCAUUCAUCCAUUUCCCGCUUAUCCUACACAGGGUCACAGAGGAGCUUGGAGUCUAUCCCAGGCGUUGGACAUCCUGGACAGGGUGCCAAUCCAUCGUAGGGCACAAUCACACACACCGACAAUUUGGGAAUGCCAAUCAGCAUACAAUGCAUGUCUUUGGACUGGGGGAGGAAACUGGAGUACCUGGAGGAAACCCCCAAAGCACGGGGCAAACACGCAAACUCCACACAUACAAGGCGGAGCAGCAGUUCUUGAGUACAAAUCAACAAUAUCCUGAUGGCUUGAUAAGACUUCUGGAACUUAGUUCUCCAAGAACAUUUACUUUCGCUGUUGUGACGUUGGACAAGAGUCAAUUUCACUUCUGAGGGACGGCUGCGAGAGGGCCCGCGAGCCGAGCCAGAUCAUCAGAUGAAAAAUGAGGUGUUGUGAUGACCAAUCCUCCAUUCAAGGUUCUGCUUUCUCUUUUUCGAGCACCACGGACCAAAAUCCAUUUCUCCAUCACUGUCAGAGACAAUACUCAUCGGACAGGUUAAUCAGUACUUCAUCUUGGAGAAUAUCAAGAGACGCCAUCGAUUGAGAGAUAUCAUAUAUUCCCGAAAUGCGGUUAUCUCCUGUGAACCAGUCGAUAUUUAAACCCAGCUCUGGGGUAACUACUACACUGGGCUACUAAGCUAUGCAUUCUUGGCCUUCUUUAAAAGUGUAGUUAGCUAUACUUCAGUCCUAUGUAUCUCUAAGGGAACAGUAAUUUCUUCUACUAUAUAGAACCUACCUUUAUUAAUGAUGUCAAUUCUUCUGAUAAUUGCAAUUGAUGAUCCAAAUGGUAAAUGGUCUGCACUUAUAUAGCGCUUUUAUCCAAAGCGCUUUACACUGUGUCUCAUUCACCCACGCACUCACACACCAAUGGUAGCAGAGCUGCCAUGCAAGGCGCUAUCUUGCCAUCGGGAGCAACUUGGUGGUCAGUGUCUUGCCCGAUGACACUUCGGCAUGUAGAGUCACGUGGGCUCGGAAUCGAACCACCAACCCUACGAUUAGUGGACGACCCGCUCUACCACCUGAGCCACAGCCGCCCUCCAUGAAAGUAUAUCAUGCUCCGAAAAGCUCAUUGUGUCACACUGUUCAAAAAUGAAAACCAAAUGAACAAAAGUGCAUAUGCGAAGUGCAAAGACGUUCAACAUUCUGAAGGUUGUGUCCAGAAAAGUAUAUAUCAGACACUUCAAUAUCCUGUGGUGUGUCAUUUGUGUCUGAAUAAUUCACACUCCAAGAUAUAAACCAAUGUGAAAUAAACCAGAUGGGUCACAAAUUUCCCUACAUUUCCCAUAGCAAGGAAUGCCUUGUGCUUGUGUUUUGCUCCUAGACCCUUGCUAGUUCUUAGGUUUCUAAGAGUGAA